rnacentral:rRNA from 1 species
AUUGAACGCUGGCGGCGUGCCUAACACAUGCAAGUCGAGCGGCAGCGGGCCCGCAAGGGUGCCGGCGAGCGGCGGACGGGUGAGCAAUACAUAGGAAUCUACCUUAGAGCGGGGGAUAGCCCGGGGAAACCCGGAUUAAUACCGCAUGAUGUCGAAAGACCAAAGUGGGGGAUCGUAAGACCUCACACUCUGAGAUGAGCCUAUGUCGGAUUAGCUAGUUGGCGGGGUAACGGCCCACCAAGGCGACGAUCCGUAGCUGGUCUGAGAGGACGAUCAGCCACACCGGAACUGAGACACGGUCCGGACUCCUACGGGAGGCAGCAGUGGGGAAUAUUGGACAAUGGGCGAAAGCCUGAUCCAGCGACGCCGCGUGGGUGAAGAAGGCCUUCGGGUUGUAAAGCCCUUUAAGCCGGGACGAAAAAGCUGCACCUAACACGUGCGGCCUUGACGGUACCGGAAGAAUAAGCACCGGCUAACUCUGUGC